rnacentral:misc_RNA from 1 species
GUGAAUCAUCGAAUUUUUGAACGCAAAUUGCACUCCCUGGUAUUCUGGGAGUAUGCCUGUUUUGGGGUCGUUAAAAUAAAAAAUCGAGGCGUCGCUCUUUUUUUUAAGGGUGAUCGCGUCGGAAUUUAGCCGUCUUUCCAAUUUUUAUCCCUGUCAAAGUUGCUUAAAAUUCAUCCAUCCGGUACGAUUAAAGCGUUUUUAAGAUCAAUUUUGAUUUAGAAAGCGCGAUGACGUACCCUCUCAUGUAGUACGUUUUACCUGGGGCAUCAGGUUCAUUCGU